GAGGCGGCGGUGGUGACUUGGGUGGUGGAGGUAUCGGAGGAGGUGGUGACUUUGGCGGUGGUGGUGGCGGAGGAGUGGGUGGUGGUGGUGUUGGAGGAGGUGGCGGUGGAGGAGGUGGUGACUUGGGUGGCGGAGGAGGCGUGGGUGGUGGAGGUGGCGGAGGAGGUGGAGACUUGAAAAACGGAGGUGGCAGUGGCCACCGAGGAUGAGGAGGCGUUUUGGGCGGUGGAGGGGGUGGAGACUUAUGGAUCCAUGGUGGAGGCAAAGGCUGCCACUGCCACCAUGGAGGAGGAGGAGGAGGAGGAUGAGAGUCGGGCGGCGGAGGAGAUUUCCCAGGAAGUGAAGUGUGUAUCGUAAUACCAAGGUUUUCGGUGGCUUCCGUCGGCAAGCUAAGAGAUGCUAUUACCACCAGUAGAGUGGCAACCAAGGAGGCCAUUGAGGACCUCAUCAUGUUCUUCUCCAAGCUCGCCAAAGCUUGGAUUUUGGUGAUGCCAA